rnacentral:rRNA from 1 species
AUUGAACGCUGGCGGCAGGCCUAACACAUGCAAGUCGAACGAGUGGCGGACGGGUGUGUAAUGUCAGGUAAACUGCCUGAUGGCGGUGGAUCUCUACUGGAAACGGUAGCUAAUUCCGCAUACCAUCAGAUGUGCCCAGAUGGGAUUAGCUUGUUGGUGGGGUAACGGCUCACCAAGGCGACGAUCCCUAGCUGGUCUGAGAGGAUGACCAGCCACACUGGAGUUGAGAAACGGUCGAGACUCAUAAGGGAGGAAGCAGUGGGGUAGAUUGGACAAUGGGCGCAAGCCUGAUGCAGCCAUGCAGAGUGUAUGAAGAUGGCAUACGGGUUGUAAAGUACUUUCAGCGAGGAGGGGUUACCCGCAGAAGAGGCACCGGAUAACUCCGUGCAAGCAGCGGCGGUAAUA